CCGGGUGAAAAUUUCAGUAGAAAUGAAGCUGACAUUCUGUUUUCGUGCCUCAUGGCGAAAAGUCUGUGCCCUAGGUGGAAAUCUGCGCUCAGGCGGAAAAGUUGCGCCCCGGGCGGAAAAACAUGGAGUGUUAUAUAUACAUGUCACGUUUGGGAUGUCAAGUAUUGUGCCUAUAGAACUCACUAUUUUGGUAAGGGAUAUUUUAAACAAGGUUUGAGUGGUGUACGAUGCACGGACCAUCUCUUCGGAAUGAACAAGAAGUUAUACACUCUACAAUAAAUUGAGUCAGACAAGAUUACUACGAUCUAACUCUAACUCCAGGCUUCCAAAGUAACAUUCAAUUCUAAAUGUAACAUUUACUUGCAACCCAUGACAUAAUACCAAAAAUACAAUUACAAAGGAGAUAACCAAAAAUAACCAAACAACACAAUAGCAAGCAACAUACACACAACACACAAGACACACAAUCAUACGAUAUUUUUUUUUCUUUUUCCCAUAACAAACCUCUAAUUUUAAAAAGAGCUAAAAUUGACAAGAUGGAAGAAUCAAAAUUUAUUUCUUCUAAAAAAACACAGCAACAACAAUA
rnacentral:lncRNA from 1 species